UUAUCGAGAUUUAAUAAGAUGACCCUUGCCUAGGGUUGAUGAUUUGUUUUAUCUACUGAGGAAAUCAUCUUACUUUUUUAGAUAAACUUGAGAUCUGGAUACCAUCAAUUAAAGAAUCAGGUCUGAGAAUAUACCUAAGACGGCCAUUAGGACCUGAUAUGGAUAUUAUGAGUUCUUAGUGAUGCUUUUUGGAUUGACUAAUUCACCUAAAACAUUUAUGGAUGUUAUGAAUAGAGUAUUCAAGAAAUAAUUGUAUAAGUUCUUUACUAAUUAUCAAUGAUAUUUUAUAAGAUGAAGGAAGAGCAUGUUGAGCAUCUUACUUGGAGAUUUUGAGAAAAGAAUAGUUAUAUGUAAAAUUUUCGAGAUGUGAAAUUUUUAUAGCGUAAGUACAGUUUUUAAGGGCAUAUAGUUUCUAAGAAAAGAAUAUUGGUAGACUCGCGAAGAUUGAGGCAAUAUCAAAUUGGGAAAGACUAAGAACCCCAACCAAAGUAAGAAGUUUUCUUGGUUUAGCAAGAUAUUAUAAAAGAUUUUUGAAAGAUUCUUCUAAGAUUGAGACUCCUUUGACUAAGUUGACUAGAAACGAAGGAGAAGUUUGAGUGGAUCUCUAAGUGCGAGGAAAGUUUUUCAAGAAUUAAAUAAGCGACUUACAAUGGCCCAUGUAUUAACCUUACCUCAUGAUACAGGAAAUUUUGUGGGUUUAUAGCAGUACAUCUCAUAAAGGACUAAGAUGUGUUCUUAUGCGAACAUGAAAAAGAAAAUGAACAGAUAGCAUAUGCAACUUAGUGAUUACGAGCUGAGAUACCCUACCCAUAACCUAGAGUUAGCUGCUAUAGUGUUUUUUUUAAAAAGAUUUGACGACAUUACUUGUAUGGUGAGAAGUGUGAGAUAUUUACAAAAUACAAAAGUUUAAAGUACUUGUUUACUCAGAAAGAAUUGAAUAUGAGACAGGGAAGAUGGUUAGAAUUGAUAAAGGAUUACGAUUGUACAAAUAACUAUAACCAGGGAAGGCAAAUGUAGUUGCUGACGCGUCAAGUAGAAAGGAAAGAAUUAAUGUGAUGUCUUUAUUAAAGAAAUUGAUUAAGAAGAUGGAAAAACAAGGAUUGGAGGUUAUGGAUUCAGAGUAUAAGGAGAGUAGGAUUUCUGAGUUAUAAGUGCAACCAGAGAUACUAGAAAGAAUCAAACGAAGUUAAGAGUUGAUAAUUAAAGAAAGACAUUCUGAAUUGACAGGUGAUGAGUAUUUAAGUGAAAGAUAAGAAAGGAAUUAGGAGAUUUUUCAAAAGAAUUUGGGUUCCCAACCUGUUCGGUCUUAAAAGAGAUAUUUGGAGUAAAGCUCACGAAUUGAGAUAUUUUAUACAUCCAGGAAAUACCAAAAAUGUCCCAAAAUUUGAAGAAGAAUUAUUGGUAGACUAAUAUAUACAUUAAAAAAAAAAAGAGAUGGCUGAUUGGGUACGUAAAUGUUUGACUUGUCAGAAAGUUAAAGCAGAACACCAACGAUCUAGUGGAUUGUUGUAAACAUUAGAAAUCCCAGAAGGGAAAUGAGACCACAUCACCAUGGAUUUUAUAUAGGAUUUCCUAGGACUCGAGUCAAUCAUGACGCUAUUUGGGAAAUUAUAGAUAGAUUGACGAAAUCUGCACAUUUUCUUCCUGUUAGUGUGAGAUAUACCUUGGAGAGAUCAGUAAAGAUGUAUAUAAACGAAGUUGUGUCUAAGCAUAGAGUGCCAGUGUUAAUUGUUUUAGAUAGAGAUGAAAUAACUACAUCUAGAUUUGGGCAAGCAUUUCAGGAAUGUUUUGGAACAAAGCUUAACCUGAAUACUGUAUAUCACUCUUAGACUGAUGGACAUAGUAAAUGUUUUGCGAACUAAACUUAACCUGAACACUGUAUAUCACCCUUAGAUUGAUGGACAGAGUGAAAGGACGGUUCAAACUAUAGAAAAUAUGUUAAGAGCUCGUUCUUUGGAUUAUUAUUAUUAUUUUUUUUUUUUUUUAAAGUUAGGAUGAUCACUUACCUUUAGUAUAGUUUGCUUAUAAUAAUAGUUAUCUUUCUAGUAUAGGAAUGACACCUGACGAAACAUUAUAUGAUAGAAAGUAUAGAUCAUCACUUUGCUGGGAUGACGCUGGAGAGGAAAAGAUUCUAGGGACAAAACUAGUUCAACACACUAAUCAAUCAAUUAAAAGACAUGAAAGAAAUUAGUUGCAGCUCAAGAUAGACAAAAGGAAUUGCAGAUUUAGAAAGGAAAGAGAAAGCCCUUGAGGUAGGAAAAAAAAAAAAAAAUGCUUCUGAAAGUAUCACCCUAGGAUGGGAGCCAUUAGAUUCGGGAAGAAAAGUAAGUUGAAACCAAGAUAUAUAGGACCAUUUGAGAUUUUAAGGAAAAGUGGUAAGUGUUUCUUAUCAUUUGGCUUUACCCCUAAACUUUCAACAUAUUCAUGAUGUCUUUUAUGUGUCCUUACUAAAAGCUCACAAGACUGACAACAGUCAUGUUUUGAACUACGAAACAAUGAAUAUCCAAUAUGGUUUAAAAUAUGAAGACAAACUAGUAAAGAUUGUAGAUUCAAAAUUUCAAGAGUUGAGGAACAAGAAAGUCAAAUUAGUUAUAAGGUAAUCUGGCAAAACCAAGAUGUGGAAGAAGCUAUAUGAGAACUAGAAGAAGCCAUGAUAAAAGCUACCCAGAGUUAUUCAACACCAAUCAUGAUUCCGAGGACGUAAUCCUUUAAGGAGGGAAGAAUGUAACAACCGCAAAAUUUCAAGUACGUAAUAAAAUUAAUUAUUUGAUUUUAUGCGAUUAAGUUAAUUAUUUAAAUAAUUGUGAAUUUAUUAUAUUGGCACGUAAAAUAUUUAAGGCCAGUGCUGAGUUUGGAUUAUAUUGGCUAGCAUAUUGAAUCCAGUAACGUACCAUUAAAUUUUAAGUAUCAGGUACGUGGACCAGUUGAUAGACGUAUAAUUGUAUGUCACGUCCCGGAGAUAAUUGUUACGCGUUAGUUAGAAUAAAUAUUUCGUGAUAAUUAAUUAAUAAAUUACGAAAUAUGUAGGAAAAUAUUAGAAUGAUUAUUUAGAUAAUUAUUUUUAUAAUCUUGAAUAAUAUUUAAAUAAGUUUAAUAGGUAGCGUUAAAUGAGUCGGGACUGAAGUAUUCAGUAAAUAAAUAAAACAAAUAAAGCCGUUGCGGGACGUUAAGUAGCGAGCAAAUAAUUAAAUGCAAGAUAAAAAAAAAAAAAAUAAAAAAAUAUGAAAUGAAACCAACAAACAAAAGAGGCGGUACUUAGCACCUCGAAUCUUGGACCCAAACUUGGUGCCCAAACAUUUUAAGUAGUGCCCAAGUAAUAUAAAGAUUAGCUUUUAAUUUAAAUUAUUAAAUAUUGUUAAUUGUCAUUAAGGAGGUGUAUAAAUUGAAGUGUAAGAUGAAAGCAACAGUUUGGUUUUCUAUACUGAAAAAUAAGAAAGCAAACGCAGAGUUAUUAAAGAAAGGGCAAAAGGAAAUUUGGAAGGAGUUAAUACCUAAAGUCAAGUUAUAUGAUAUCUGAAAAGGCGGAGCCACUUAGACGUAUUAAAUUUUGGGAAAUAAUUUUCAAGCUAAGGAUGACAGUAAAUAGUGAGUAUGGCACAAUCCAAGAGAACCGCCCGGAAAUGGGUUUUUGGCAAAGGCAGGGAAAAGGCGCGACACCCAAGCUGAAACUGCUAGACGACGCCGCUUGGUAGUAUGAGCUAUAGUUAUUAUAAUGGUCUGAAAUCAGACUUCCCUUUAUGUAAUAAAGUUAGACUCGGUAGUAAUGUUGUAAGACGAUCGACCUUGGACUUGUGGGGCAAGAGUUGGAUUGUGUAAUAUUAAUAUGUAAUGCAAGUGUUGUUUUGAGCCA